rnacentral:rRNA from 1 species
AACGAACGCUGGCGGCAGGCCUAACACAUGCAAGUCGAACGCACCGCAAGGUGAGUGGCGCACGGGUGAGUAACACGUGGGAAUGUACCCUUUGGUUCGGAAUAACGUUUGGAAACGAACGCUAAUACCGGAUGAGCCCUGCGGGGGAAAGAUUUAUCGCCAAAGGAGCAGCCCGCGUCUGAUUAGCUAGUUGGUGGGGUAAAGGCCUACCAAGGCGACGAUCAGUAGCUGGUCUGAGAGGAUGAUCAGCCACACUGGGACUGAGACACGGCCCAGACUUCUACGGGAGGCAGCAGUGGGGAAUAUUGGACAAUGGGCGCAAGCCUGAUCCAGCCAUGCCGCGUGAGUGAUGAAGGCCUUCGGGUUGUAAAGCUCUUUCGCACGCGACGAUGAUGACGGUAGCGUGAGAAGAAGCCCCGGCUAACUUCGUGCCAGCCGCCGCCGUAA